GGAGUUUCUCUCUUGGAUCAACUCUCCAAAGUCGAAGAGGCAUGUUUCGGUGCGGUUCAUUGCCAACUGAUGGAUGUGGUUCAUCCGGGGAUGGUCCCAUGCACAAAGUCAACUUUGAUGCCUAGAACGAGUACGUGAUUAAUUUAAACUACAAGGUCCUUCAAGAUCACCAAGGUUUAGUUUAAUUCUCGUUCUUGGGCCUUUCAUGGGAGAGAGAUACUUCUGCUUUUUGUGGGCUUCAGUUACAAAGCAUUUAAUGGAGCAAAAUCUGGCAAAAAGAGAGGGAGGAACCAUAGAUAGAAGCCAGGAUAUUGCUCGUUUAGCAGAGUUCUGCAAGCUGUAUAGAGCACAGAACAAUGUAGAUCAGAUAUGUCAAGAAGAAAUGGAGAUGAGAGAGUUGGGAGCUUUCCCUGGAAAUCUUGGCGAGUAAGUAUCUUUAGUAGGGGAUAGAAGAUAUCGAUCCUUUGAAUUUUACAUUUAUUCAUUUUGUUCUUUUGGAUAAGUAGAACUGCAUAAAUGCCAACAAAGAAA